GACAACAUCAGGUGGAAUGACAACUACUGCAACCAAAUCAGCGAGUACAGUAAAAGCGUCGUCAACUAAACCAACGCCUGCGCCAG